rnacentral:rRNA from 1 species
CCUACGGGUGGCAGCAGUGGGGAAUAUUGCACAAUGGGGGAAACCCUGAUGCAGCCACGCCGCGUGAGUGAUGAAGUAAUUCGUUAUGUAAAGCUCUAUCUGCAGGGAAGAAAAUGGCGGUACCUGAGUAAGAAGCCCCGGCUAACUACGUGCCAGCCGCCGCGGUAAUACGUAGGGGGCAAGCGUUAUCCGGAUUUACUGGGUGUAAAGGGAGCGUAGACGGCAGUGCAAGUCUGGAGUGAAAGGCGGGGGCUCAACCCCCGGACUGCCGUGGAAACUGUAGGGCUGGAGUGCAGGAGAGGUAAGUGGAAUUCCUGGUGUAGCGGUGAAAUGCGUAGAUAUUAGGAGGAACACCAGUGGCGAAGGCGGCUUACCGGACUGUAACUGACGCUGAGGCUCGAAAGCGUGGGGAGCAAACAGGAUUAGAUACCCUUGUAGUC